AAUAGAUACCCUGGUAGUCCACGCUGUAAACGAUGAGGACUAAAUGUUGGUAGGGGAACCUAUCGGUAUUGAAGCUAACGCGAUAAGUCUUCCGCCUGGGAAGUACGGCCGCAAGGUUGAAACUCAAAUGAAUUGACGGGGGCCCGCACAAGCGGUGGAGCAUGUGGUUUAAUUCGAUGCAACGCGAAGAACCUUACCUACCCUUGACAUCCUGCGAAUCCCGAUGAGAGUUGGGAGUGCCGCAAGGAGCGCAGAGACAGGUGCUGCAUGGCUGUCGUCAGCUCGUGUUGUGAGAUGUUGGGUUAAGUCCCGUAACGAGCGCAACCCUUGUCCUUAGUUGCCAGCAUUAAGUUGGGGACUCUAAGGAGACUGCCGGUGAGGAACCGGAGGAAGGCGGGGACGACGUCAAGUCAUCAUGGCCUUUAUGGGUAGGGCUACACACGUGCUACAAUGGGGCGUACAGAGGGUCGCGAACCCGCGAGGGGGGAGCCAAUCUCAUAAAGCGUCUCGUAGUCCGGAUUGGAGU
rnacentral:rRNA from 1 species